GUAGGCAGAUUCAAGUCUCGCAAAGAGCGGGAGGCUGAGCUUGGAGCCAAAGCCAAAGAAUUCACCAAUGUUUAUAUCAAGAACUUCGGAGAAGAAGUAGAUGAUGAGAGUCUGAAGGAGCUAUUCAGCCAGUUUGGUAAGACCCUAAGUGUCAAGGUGAUGAGAGAUCCCAGUGGGAAAUCCGAAGGCUUUGGCUUUGUGAGUUACGAAAAACACGAGGAUGCCAAUAAGGCUGUGGAAGAGAUGAAUGGGAACGAAAUCAGUGGUAAAGUCAUAUUUGUAGGCCGUGCACAGAAGAAAGUAGAAUGGCAGGCUGAAUUAAAACGGAAAUUUGAGCAGCUGAAACAGGAGAGAAUUAGUCGAUACCAGGGAGUGAACCUCUACAUUAAGAACUUGGAUGACACCAUUGAUGAUGAGAAAUUAAGAAAAGAAUUUUCUCCAUUUGGGUCAAUCACCAGUGCUAAGGUAAUGCUGGAGGAUGGAAGAAGCAAAGGAUUUGGUUUUGUCUGUUUCUCAUCUCCUGAGGAGGCAACCAAAGCAGUCACUGAAAUGAAUGGGCGCAUCGUGGGUUCCAAGCCACUGUAUGUUGCCCUAGCCCAAAGGAAGGAGGAGAGAAAGGCUCACUUAACCAAUCAGUACAUGCAGCGAGUGGCUGGAAUGAGAGCGCUCCCUGCCAAUGCCAUCUUAAACCAGUUCCAGCCUGCAGCUGCUGGCUACUUCGUGCCGGCAGUUCCACAGGCUCAGGGAAGACCUCCGUAUUACAUGCCUAACCUGUUGGCACAGAUGAGGCCUAAUCCAUGUUGGCAGCAAGGUGGGAGACCUCAGGGCUUCCAAGGAAUGCCAAGUGCUAUACGCCAGUCUGGGCCUUGUCCAGCUCUUUGCCAUCUGGCUCCAACUGGUAAUGCUCCAGCCUCUCGUGGCCUCCCUAUUACCACUCAGAGAGUCGGGUCUGAGUGCCCGGACCACUUGGCUAUGGACUUUGGUGGGGCUGGUGCCGCCCAGCAAGGGCUGACUGACAGCUGCCAGUCUGGAGGUGUCCCACAGCCGUUCCAAACCUCACACCUCGGGCUGCAGUUGCUGCUACUGCUCCUCGGGCAGUGGCACCAUACAAGUGUGCCUCUAGUGUCCGCAGUCCACACCCUGCCAUACAGCCUCUGCAGGCACCGCAGCCUGCUGUCCACGUGCAGGGCCAGGAGCCCCUGACUGCCUCUAUGCUGGCUGCAGCACCCCCCCAGGAGCAGAAGCAGAUGCUAGGAGAACGUUUGUUCCCACUCAUCCAAACAAUGCAUUCGAACCUGGCUGGCAAGAUCACAGGCAUGCUGCUGGAGAUCGAUAACUCGGAGCUGCUGCACAUGCUUGAGUCCCCUGAGUCUCUGCGUUCAAAGGUGGAGGAAGCUGUGGCAGUUCUGCAGGCUCAUCAUGCCAAGAAAGAAGCUGCCCAGAAGGUGGGCAUUGUUGCUGCUGCUACCUCUUAGACAAGGAGAACACGAUUCAAAAGCCAAAUAAUCCCUCAUGGAAUUGAGCUCAAGGUUUGAAGACUUCCUAGUUUGUCCUAUGGACUUCAACACCAAGAACCACAAGUUGCAAAUUGAAUAGGUCAUUUUGUAUCAAAAGGUCAAUUAUGAAGCACCUAGAACUUUUCA